rnacentral:lncRNA from 1 species
CACAAGGGAAACUGUUCUGGCCACGUCUCGAUGUUUCACAGCUCCGUGCUUCCCUCCAUGAAACCAGUGACUUGGCGAAAGGACCCAGGAAGACUGCUUAAGAGAAAACACUGAAUCUGGCCCUUUUUACCCCCCACGUGGCCUUAAAUCACUCAGAACCUGAGUGCUCUCAUCUGUAAAAUGGGAUGGCAUGAGUACCCACCUUGUGGGACUUUUAGAAGAUUAAAUUAUAACCUUCACAAAGAGUCUGAUUCAUAGUAAAUACAGAAUAAAUGUUUUUAUUCCUAUGAUAGGUGCAAUGCAGGCAAUUUCUGUUUUUGACUCAGCAAAUGUCUCCUGGAGUAACGAGGCACAACAGGGCCGGGCUUUAAAUCCUUUCUGUGCACACACUGGCUGGAUGAUAAGACUCAUUUCUUUUUUUCACCACUGCAUCUCUGACACAUGGAGCGAUUCCGAGCUUGUAGUAAGGACUCCAUUAAAGAUUUUAUUGAAAGUAACAGCCUAGCUUCAGGUGAGACGAAGCCUUCCGGGCCCACCCCGAGGUGAAGUGAAGCAGAGACCGACGGCCCAGGCCCAGGGAGAGCGCCUGGCAGCACGGCACCGACAGGUGCAAGGUGGCCGUCACAGCAGAGCAGCAAGCUUCAAGACACACUGCCAGCGAAAGGAGCAGCCUGGCCACGGGCCAGCGCGAGGACGGAGGACUCCAGGGCCCUGGGGUUGAGCCAACGAGAAGCAAGUCCUUGGGAAAUGGAAAGGGCCAGGGCUGCGUGAAGGCCACGUCCGUGUGUAACAUGUGCAGUCAAUUAAUUUGCUAACCACACUGAGGAAAAACAAAAACAAAAAGCAACCUUGUUAAGCAGUGCCCCGUGGGGUUGCAGCACACCUGAUUCUACAACUCGGGCCUGGCAGUUUGUCUCUCUGAUUGAACAUUACCGUGCAGCAAACUGUUCCCCUAAAGUUGUUGCCAAGCCAGGGAAUAUGUUUCCCUGCUUCCCUGCAUGUAGGCACAGCCAUGUGACCACUGCUGUAGCAUGUGACCCGGGCCACCUGUGUCACGGGGUUGAUGCCUGUGUGCCCUCUCCUGGAUGCCUUCUCAUUCUCCUGGGAACUGCAUUUCAGGUGGCAGCACCACAAGACAAAAGCAGCUUGGGCCCUCAGGAAAGGAUGGGCUGUAUUCACCUGUUUCCUGCGAUGAUGCUGUGUUUCCCUCAAUUAAUUCCUCAUCACUUUUCUGGAAUCCUCUAAAGAUGGGGAAAGAGAGAAGAAAGACUUGCUCUUUACCAUGAUGAUGUAUUUUUCCUUUUGUUCUAUAUAAAAACAAGGAAAACAAAACAGAUGUAUACACUCCACUAGUUAAUUAUGGUAGGUAAAUACACCACAUUAGACUGAUUUCCACAGAGGAAAUUACAACUUUGCCUGUUUAUUGACCAUCGCGUAAUACCCAGCACCUAGUCGACUGCUUGGCAAUCAUGGGCAUACACG